rnacentral:piRNA from 2 species
UAUUAUCCCCCUUUUGUACAUGGUCU